UGUUCCUACGGGACGCAGCAGUGGGGAAUAUUGCGCAAUGGGGGCAACCCUGACGCAGCAACGCCGCGUGAUUGAAGACGGCCUUCGGGUUGUAAAGGUCUUUAAUCGGGGACGAAUUUUGACGGUACCCGAAGAAUAAGCUCCGGCUAACUACGUGCCAGCAGCCGCGGUAAUACGUAGGGAGCAAGCGUUAUCCGGAUUUACUGGGCGUAAAGGGCGUGUAGGCGGGCAUGCAAGCCCGCAGUGAAAUCUGUGGGCUUAACCCCCAAACUGCCUUUGGAACUGCGUGUCUUGAGUGAUGGAGG
rnacentral:rRNA from 1 species